CCGUUGGAAAGGCACACGUCACCCCCUGUUGAAGGCUUGACGUCAACAGUGAACACAACCACCAGUCACGCUGACAUUGUGACAGUGAACGCGUCACCUGUGGUCCCCCCGUGGUCACUACCAGGGCGAGGCGUGUAUCUACUCUAGACCACCACAGCCCUUCAGCAGCAACACGUGCAGCAGGGCACCCGCGGCCACGAUGGUGCUGGAGGCGUGGCUCGUGGAGGCACACCCGGCCAUGUUUUCUCGUGUGCUGACCAAGGCGCCUCCACCUGUCGCCGCUGAGGACUUGCAGAGCGGAGGACGCCUGACCAGGUGACCACAACACGUCACCGCCAAUCACGCCUCGCCUCACCUCGCCGCUCACUCCUCUCCUCCUUUGCCGGACCACCUGUCGUCAGCCUCGCCAACAGAUCGACAUUGAUCCUCUCCUUGGCGGCGAGGCACGAUGGGCUGAACCCCCACCGAGCCCCUAAUGUGAGCCUCCACCCAGCGCCGCCACGGCCCCACAGGCACCGCGCCCCCCACCACCACGCCACCCCCAGCCAGGGCCACCACACCACCACCAACACACCACGACCCCUGCCUCCGACUGCUUGAGAGAAAGUAACGGAUGUACUUCAAGGGCAUGGGAUAACAACAACAACGCGGAAAAGGACCUCCACAGAGCGUUGUACCCACGACUGAAGGGCAACAGGAGGAGUUCCAUACAAAAAAGGUACAUACCAAGGCUGACAAUUGGUCUUACUACGGUGGGAGAUGUAUGGCUUCUAUGAAUUUAUGUCUGGAUGUCCUCACGGUGGGACGCUGGGUGGCUGGCUGGCUGGUUUGCUCACGGAGUGUCGACCUCUGUAUUGCUGUAAGGGGCUGGGCCGGACUUGAAUAACUUUGUAGUGAUGGUGGAGGUGUGGCGCCUGCAAGCCUCUGCCCUGCACUAAAUCCUUCCGUCUGCCGUGCAUCCUCGCUCCAUAUGGAGGCAGCGGGCCGCGGGUCAGCAGCACAUGGCCGCGGCAUCGCUCCAGCAGGACGAGAUUGUCCGUGCCAGUAUCGCUGAGAAGGGCGUCGCAGCUGCCAUUAGUGGCCACCCACGAGACUGGCGAUGCCCUACAGCAAGUGCCGUGUUGUCUCCCGUAGGACAAAGGUCUGUUUUGUUGAUUCCUUUCCGCCCGCACGGCUUCCACCACGAGAAAUUAAUAAAGAUUGGCCAUUGUUAAAUAUGGGGUCUCCCUGUUACACAAUCCUCUUGUAGUAAAUAAAUUGCCUGAGUCUCGUUCUGAUGAGUUCCUCUGCCUGCUGAAUGUUGUGGUCGUCUGCAGAUCGACAGAUUUGACCGACUAUUGAAGUGCCGCAUGUUUUGUUGGCGGCGCCGGCAGAACACGACUGUUAAACAAAAAGAGCCGCUGUGCACGAGGCCGAGCCUUUGAGGUGACAAGCAGUAAAAAGACAAUGAAGACUCGUGUCCCCAGCUGGCGGCUGCAGGACGCGCUCCGCACUGAGGAUCAUGAAGGACCGCUCUGGCUCUGUAAGCAACGAUUUCAAGUUUGUAAAUAAAUAUCGCGAGUGCCUUCGUCUUGACUGCGACGUUUAAGAAAAUAUUAAAAUUAUUCAUAUAUAUCAUAUAUUUAUUUUACGUGCAGUGAAGCGUCAGCGCUUUGUACAGUUGCACGGUAAUGCAAUAUUAAUUGCAUUUGUAUACGGUUGAAAGGAAGUUCACGACACAAGAUGCUGAAAAUUUUAAUUGGAGGUCGAAAAACACUUAACAUAAAUUUCCAGCUAAAAUAGAUUUUAAACGAAAGGGCUCCAGAGAAUAACAGACUUGGAAAAUACAAGUGAGCUCGAAUAAAAUAAAAUAAAUCAGCCCAGGCAUUAGGAAGUCACGCGAUACUUUAUGAUUAACUUAUCAACUCUGAAACAGUUGCAUUGUUUCUAAUCUAAGCAACACGACGCCAGGGUUGUCCUUUUACCCCUAUAAACACGGGAAUAUUGAAACUGCCGUGAGAGAUGGCGUCGAGUGGUGACAAGCGCCAGGGGAGCCACAGUUCAGAACCACAACGAAGACUACGGAAAAAAAAAGUUCCUUCGCCCACACCAGGUUCCAUGAUACCGGCAGCGCUCAGAGGACCCCGUGGCCGAACGUAUCAAGUGGCGAGUCUGUGGAACUUGUGUCGUGCCUUGUCCCGUGGAAAGAGAAGCCAUACUCAACACCCUCGG